AGUUUUCUCCACGAAAUGGUACUCCUUUUCUGAGAGGGAAAAUAGCCCUAGUGGAGCAACCAUGGGUCUAUGACUCUGCUUUUCCCUACAUAGAACAUAGAAGCAGAGUCAUAAAACGUUCAAUGAAUCUGAUAGAAGACAGAACUAGAGAAAAAGCUUUAAAUGGAUGACUUCACGAAACGAUCACAAAUGUUCGGUGACUCGUACACGCUCUUCAUUUGUGGUGCUGUACAAGCCGUCCGUCUGCUCUGUGGCCUACGGCCAUAAUCGCAGUAAAAAGCAGCGCGUAACCCGAAUGAGACGCCCCAAAAACCAAAACAGCCCGCCCGAUCAACAAAGAAUAUCGACCCGACCAACGCGGGACAUACACACAGCAAAUCUGUUCUGUGUUCUGUACAUUGUAUAGGAAAAAGUAAAAUACACAAAUUUAGUAAAUUGA